rnacentral:rRNA from 1 species
AAUCGAACCCGGAGAUAGCUGGUUCUCCUCGAAAUAGCUUUAGGGCUAGCCUCAUACGAGUCUUGCGGAGGUAGAGCACUGAAUUCUUAAGGGGGCGUCAAAGCUUACUAAGAGAUAUCAAACUCCGAAUGCCGCGUAGAUGAUGUAUGGGAGUCAGACUGCACGAGAUAAGUUGGGUAGUCAAAAGGGAAAGAGCCCAGACCUACAGCUAAGGUCCCAAAAUGUGUGUUAAGUGGAAAAGGAUGUGGGAUUUCGAAGACAACUAGGAUGUUGGCUCAGAAGCAGCCAUCCAUUAAAAGAGUGCGUAAUAGCUCACUAGUCGAGAGGUCCUGCGCCGAAAAUGUCCGGGGCUGAAACACACUACCGAAGCUUAGGAAUUAACGAAUGUUAAUUGGUAGAGGAGCAUUCUUAAAGAGACGAAGCUGUACCGGAAGGAGCAGUGGAUUUUUAAGAAGAGAGAAUGCCGGAAUGAGUAGCGAGAGGAAGGUGAGAAUCCUUCCGGCCGAAUAUCUAAGGUUUCCAGCGUAAAGCUGAUCUGCGCUGGGUAAGUCGGGGCCUAAGGCGAGGUCGAAAGACGUAGUCGAUGGAUAACAGGUUGAAAUUCCUGUACUAUGAUAUAACAGAACUGUGGGGACGCAGGGAGAGAGCGCGAGCCGGGAACGGAAAGCCCGGCGCAAGCGAGGUACCGGUCUGUCAGGAAAAUCCGGCAGACAACGGGAAGACGUGAUGCGGACCGAAAAAGAGUAGGGAAGAGCGUGAGCUAACUGCCAAGAAAAGCCGCUAUUGUUUAUAUCAUACCCGUACCGUAAACCGACACAGGUGGAUGAGGAGAGAAUCCUAAGGCCGACGGGAGAAGCAUUGUUAAGGAACUCGGCAAAAUGACUCCGUAACUUCGGGAGAAGGAGUGCCAUGCGAAUGGCCGCAGAGAAUUGGCCCAAGCAACUGUUUAGCAAAAACACAGGUCUAUGCAAAACCGAAAGGUGAGGUAUAUGGGCUGACGCCUGCCCGGUGCUGGAAGGUUAAGGGGAGAGGUUAGCGCAAGCGAAGCUUUGAACUUAAGCCCCAGUAAACGGCGGCCGUAACUAUAACGGUCCUAAGGUAGCGAAAUUCCUUGUCGGGUAAGUUCCGACCCGCACGAAAGGCGUAAUGAUUUGGGCACUGUCUCAACAAUGCACCCGGUGAAAUUGAAAUACCAGUGAAGAUGCUGGUUACCUGCGCCAGGACGGAAAGACCCCAUGGAGCUUUACUCCAGCUUGAUACUGGGAUUCGAUAUUGCAUGUACAGGAUAGGUGGGAGACUAGGAGACGGUAACGCCAGUUGCCGUGGAGUCGAUGUUGGGAUACCACCCUUGCAGUAUUGGGUUUCUAACCAGCAGCCGUGAUCCGGCUGGGGGACAAUGUCAGGUGGGGAGUUUGACUGGGGCGGUCGCCUCCGAAAGGGUAUCGGAGGCGCUCAAAGGUUCCCUCAGAAUGGUUGGAAACCAUUCGAAGAGUGCAAAGGCAGAAGGGAGCUUGACUGCGACACCGACGGGUGGAGCAGGUACGAAAGUAGGACUUAGUGAUCCGGUGGUAUAAAGUGGGAUUGCCAUCGCUCAACGGAUAAAAGCUACCCUGGGGAUAACAGGCUUAUCACUCCCAAGAGUUCACAUCGACGGAGUGGUUUGGCACCUCGAUGUCGGCUCAUCGCAUCCUGGGGCUGAAGUAGGUCCCAAGGGUUGGGCUGUUCGCCCAUUAAAGCGGUACGCGAGCUGGGUUCAGAACGUCGUGAGACAGUUCGGUCCCUAUCCGGCGUGGGCGUAGGAUAUUUGAGAGGAGCUGUCCUUAGUACGAGAGGACCGGGAUGGACUGGCCGCUGGUGUACCUGUUGCAUCGCCAGAUGCAUGGCAGGGUAGCCAAGCCGGGAAGGGAUAAACGCUGAAGGCAUCUAAGCGUGAAGCCCCCCUCAAGAUAAGAUAUCCCAUAACGUCAAGUUAGUAAGACCCCUUGA